CCUACGGGUGGCAGCAGUGAGGAAUAUUGGUCAAUGGGCGGAAGCCUGAACCAGCCAAGUAGCGUGCAGGAUGACGGCCCUACGGGUUGUAAACUGCUGUUAUACGGGAAGAACGCGCCGUACGUGUAGGGCUUUGCAUGUACCGUAUGAAUAAGGACCGGCUAAUUCCGUGCCAGCAGCCGCGGUAAUACGGAAGGACCGGGCGUUAUCCGGAUUUAUUGGGUUUACAGGGAGCGUAGGCCGCAUGUCAAGCGUGCUGUGAAAUGUCCGGGCCCAACCCGGGCCUUGCAGCGCGAACGGGCGUGCUUGAGUCCGCGGCACGCAGGCGGCCUUCGUCUUGUAGCGGUGACCUGCUUAGCUAUGACG
rnacentral:rRNA from 1 species